GCCGAGGUGGCGGAAUUGGUAGACGCAGUGGAUUCAAAAUCCACCGGUGGUGACACCUUGAGGGUUCAAGUCCCUCUCUCGGUACCA
rnacentral:tRNA from 2 species